GAUGAACGCUGGCGGCGUGCCUAAUACAUGCAAGUCGAGCGAACGGACGAGAAGCUUGCUUCUCUGAUGUUAGCGGCGGACGGGUGAGUAACACGUGGAUAACCUACCUAUAAGACUGGGAUAACUUCGGGAAACCGGAGCUAAUACCGGAUAAUAUUUUGAACCGCAUGGUUCAAAAGUGAAAGACGGUCUUGCUGUCACUUAUAGAUGGAUCCGCGCUGCAUUAGCUAGUUGGUAAGGUAACGGCUUACCAAGGCAACGAUGCAUAGCCGACCUGAGAGGGGGGUCGGCCCACCUGGAACGUAGACCCGGUCCAAGCCCCUCCGGGAGGCACCAGUAGGGAUUCUUCCGCAAUGGGCGAAAGCCUGACGGAGCAACCCCGGGUGAGUGAUGAAGGUCUUCGGUUUGUAAAACCCUUUUUUUAGGGAAGAACAUAUGUGAAAGUAACUGUGCCCAUCUUGACGGUACCUAAUCAGAAAGCCACGGCUAACUACGU
rnacentral:rRNA from 1 species